AGUGAACGCUGGCGGUAGGCCUAACACAUGCAAGUCGAACGGCAGCACAGUAAGAGCUUGCUCUUACGGGUGGCGAGUGGCGGACGGGUGAGGAAUAUAUCGGAAUCUACUUUUUCGUGGGGGAUAACGUAGGGAAACUUACGCUAAUACCGCAUACGACCUACGGGUGAAAGCAGUGGAUCUUCUGACCUUGCGCGAUUGAAUGAGCCGAUGUCGGAUUAGCUGGUUGGCGGGGUAAAGGCCCACCCAGGCGAGGAUCCGUAGCUGGUCUGAGAGGAUGAUCAGCCGCACUGGAGCUGGGACACGGUCCUGGCUACUACGGGAGGCAGCAGUGGGGAAUAUUGGACAAUGGUCGCAAGCCUGAUCCAGCCAUACCGAGUGGGUGAAGAAGGCCUUCGGGUUGUAAAGCCCUUUUGUUGGGAAAGAAAAGCAGCAGGUUGAUACCCCGCUGUUCUGACGGUAACCAAAGAAUAAGCACCGGCUAACUUCGUG
rnacentral:rRNA from 1 species